CAGCCGCCGCGGUAAUACGUAGGUGGCAAGCGUUGUCCGGAAUUAUUGGGCGUAAAGGGCUCGCAGGCGGUUUCUUAAGUCUGAUGUGAAAGCCCCCGGCUCAACCGGGGAGGGUCAUUGGAAACUGGGAAACUUGAGUGCAGAAGAGGAGAGUGGAAUUCCACGUGUAGCGGUGAAAUGCGUAGAGAUGUGGAGGAACACCAGUGGCGAAGGCGACCCUCUGGUCUGUAACUGACGCUGAGGAGCGAAAGCGUGGGGAGCGAACAGGAUUAGAUACCCCUGUAGUCCCUGUCUCUUAUAU
rnacentral:rRNA from 1 species